UUAGGAUGAUUUAAAGGGCCCAUGACUGACUAAGGGCCAGAUUUCCCUUUUACCUAGGAUGUGUUGCGGUAGAAAUGGAGUUUCCAGAUGAGUCAGUGAGAGUGACAGGGCCCAUCUCUCAUCAACAGUCAUAUGGACAUGAGACUUGUGGUGGGCACCAAUGCCUUCCUGUUCCACAGACGGUUUCAUCUCCCUAAAGAAAGUAAUAAUGAUCAUAAAAUACGAUGCCGGAGAAUGCAAGCUGUCUAUAAACAUAUAAAUACCCACAGCCAGCAGAACAUGACAGAAAACAAGAACAGAAGAUUAAAGUGGCAUGGUCCUGGGGAGCUUUCUUUGCCUUCCAGAGAUAAGUGCUGCUUGUAAAGUGGAGCUAACUGAAAUGCAUGCAGUGGAAGCAGUUGUCUGGCCUGAAGUACCUAAUUCACCUGGUAGAAUAACCGAUCCAGGGAGAAACGCCCAUAGCUGAAGAGGGGAAGACAAGACUUUGUUGUGAUUUAUCCAUGGGACGAAAUUAUUUUUCACUAAACGAUUAGAUUAUGAGAUCAGCUACCGAAUUUGAACGCCACAGCUGCUUAUACAAUUUCACUCCUUUCUGUGAUCUCAAAGUCUGGCAUCAGCUGAUAUUGAAGAUUUAAGGAGACACUUAAAGCGGCUUCAAGAAAAUGGCCUUAUCAAAGAAUUCCACAGCCCACAUCCAGGUACCGGUGCACAGUGGGAGCGCAACCAUUCCCGGACCCAGGAGAUUAUCCCGUGCAUACUGAGAUAACGAUGAGCUGGCUACACCAACUGAUGCAGGGUAAAAUAACCCAUCACCCCAGAGCCCCACCAGACAGCCAGCUCCCAGCCUCCAGGCCCAGGUAGAGAACAAAGGUGUGAGAAGAUUUGUUCGACGUUAGACAAAGUCAAACUGUGUCAAACAACACUAAGGGUGGGUUAUCUACUUGAUCAGAUGAAGUCGUUGUGUCAGGAUCCGGGGUGAGUCUGCACAUUCCUCUAAUCAUCUUAAGUCAUUGCAGGUAGGCGGCUCCGGAGAGCGGCCAGCUGCGGUGAUUUCCGUCAUCAACUACCUGUGUUUAUAAGGAGCUGGAGAUCACUUCACCUCGCCGGAAGAUUACUCACCUUGGGAAUUCUCACCACGAACCUAUUCUACAAUAACCUGGUUUUCAUCUCUAAGCCUGAUCUCCCUCCUCACCCGAACCGACCCGCUCUCCCACCGCUCACCUCCCUUGGAUUUUGGAUUCUCACUGACGUUGCUCACCCCAGUCCUGGCUACCCUCCCAAGCUCUGGAUUUCAGUCCCCACAACCCACCCCCAGAGCUGUGCUCAACACCACCACCACAUCUGGCGGUGCACCUUUAGUUCUCCUUCAAAAUAAAACAUUUAUUUUUUCCUACCUACGUCUCCUAGUGUGAAUUCUGAAGUCUUGGGUCAGGAAACUCCCCUCAUUCAUGACACGUUGCCCUUUGUAUUACAGUGAGUGAGUUGAAGAUGGAGUUAAUGGAGAUGAAAGUGAAAUGCAAGGAUAGGGAGGGACGGAUGAGGAGAUGUAAAGUGCAGAUUGUCUGAGUUUUCCAGAGACACUGGAGUCCAGCUCAACCAUAGCAGUUGCCAGGAUGCUAACAGAGGUGCUCGGGAAAUAGCCAUGGGUGGACCUCUCACAUCACUCAACAUGUCAAAAUAACCUGAGUAACUGGGCAAGAGUUAUUGCUGCUAACUUACAUCAUCAAGGUCACAUGACUCUUUGGUCCCUCCCUCUAUUCAUGGCCCCAUUGCUGCGGCUGCAGUGAUGCGGGCGUUGUACCGGUCUGUCGUGGUGAAGAGAGCUGAGCCGGAAGGCAAAGCUUUCGAUUUACCGGUUGAUCUACAUUCCUACCCUCACCUAUGGUCAUGAGCUUUGGGUAGUGACUGAAAGAAUGAGAUCCCGGAUGGAAGCAGCCAAAAUGAGUUUUCUCUGAAGAGUGGCUGGACUCUCCCUUAGAGAUAGGGUGAGAAACUCUGUCAUCCAGGAGGGGCUUGGAGUAGACCUGCUGCUCCACCACAUAGACAGAAGCCAGUUGAGAUGACUCGGUCAUCUAGUUAAGAAGCUCCUGGAGGUUUUCCGGGCACAUCCAAUCAGGGGAAGGCCUAAAAGAAGACCCAGGACACACUGGAACUACGGUGACCAGACGUGUCCCGCAAAUUGAGACUCUUGUCCCGCAUUAUUGACAGUUUCCCGUUUCGAGUUUCAAUCUUAUGAAUUAAAUUGGACAAAUCUGCCUGUUGCUGUCAAUCAAACGGAGGCGGGACUUUAUCGCAGAUCUGGAGCGUGUGUGGAGCGCGCCCGAACCACCAAAACACGCGUGAGUGAGCACGGAGGAGAAAAUGCUGUAAACUCGUGAAUUGAACGUGUUCAGAGAUACUCGACAGAGUCUUUGUUGUUUCUGAGUCACUUUUCAUGUCUCGGCGCGGAGUCUGAUAUGAGGAGGUCAAAAGCAGCUUUUCCAGUAAUUAGACAGGUCCAUGAUAAACAAAAUGGAGGUUCUAACACAGACAAGGUGCUGUGGUUUCAGAUACCGGCGUACAUGCUGAGUCCCUUAAAGCACAGUGAAGAAAUAAUGAAAGUAAAUGGAAGCUUUAAUCACUUAUUCUCAGAAAUUUGAGGCAAAAAGUAACUUUAAGAAACUCUAUUAUUAGAUUAGAUCUGAUUUUUUUAGAGAUUAGAAUCUGAUAUUUAUUCUCUCACCUAAAAUCUAGAAGAGAUUUGUUGUCGUGUUUAAAAAAAAUUGUUUCUGAAUUAUGAAAAAAUAGCAAAAAAGUAUGGAUU